GCCUAAAAGUAGCUACAUGGUUAAUAACAAAAAUUCGAGACAUCCCAAUCUUAAUAUAGAAAAGCAGUGCUAAAACUGUCACGGGUUCGAAUACUAACAAAUGCAAUUUCAAAUGUUUCAGAAAAAUAUGACAAAUUAUAUGCUCUUAACAAUUGAAUAUAACAUUCUAAAAAAAAAAAUUUAUUUCAGCAUACCUGUAAAUUCGUAAUAAUUUUGUCACAAAGCUUACCAAGGAGUAAUUGAGGUUUGGUAGGAUACAAUUGAGGGUUGGAUAUUAAU